CCUACGGGACGCAGCAGUGGGGAAUAUUGCACAAUGGGGGAAACCCUGAUGCAGCAACGCCGCGUGAAGGAAGACGGUUUUCGGAUUGUAAACUUCUGUUCUUAGUGAAGAAAAAUGACGGUAGCUAAGGAGCAAGCCACGGCUAACUACGUGCCAGCAGCCGCGGUAAUACGUAGGUGGCAAGCGUUGUCCGGAAUUACUGGGUGUAAAGGGUGCGCAGGCGGUCUGUUAAGUCAGCGGUCAAAGCCCGGGGCUCAACCCCGGCCCGCCGU
rnacentral:rRNA from 1 species